rnacentral:rRNA from 1 species
AUUGAACGCUGGCGGCAUGCCUUACACAUGCAAGUCGAACGGUAACAGGUCUUCGGAUGCUGACGAGUGGCGAACGGGUGAGUAAUACAUCGGAACGUGCCCGAGAGUGGGGGAUAACGAGGCGAAAGCUUUGCUAAUACCGCAUACGAUCUCAGGAUGAAAGCAGGGGACCGCAAGGCCUUGCGCUCACGGAGCGGCCGAUGGCAGAUUAGGUAGUUGGUGGGAUAAAAGCUUACCAAGCCGACGAUCUGUAGCUGGUCUGAGAGGACGACCAGCCGAACUGGGGCUGAGGCACGGCCCAGACUGCUGCGGGAGGCAGCAGUGGGGAAUUUUGGACAAUGGGCGCAAGCCUGCUCCAGCCAUGCCGCGUGCAGGAUGAAGGCCUUCGGGUUGUAAACUGCUUUUGUACGGAACGAAAAGACUCCCUCUAAUAAAGGGGGUCCAUGACGGUACCGUAAGAAUAAGCACCGGCUAACUACGUGCCAGCCGCCGCGGUAACAC